AUGCGUCAACGCAAGUGGCCUAGGAACCCUGUGUGUUCCUUCUGGCGGCAAUUUGAAACUUCUCAACACCUGUUCUUUGACUGCCCUGUUGCCAGAGUCAUUUGGCGAUCAAUUGGGGUAACACUUGGGACUGAUCUGUAUCCUCGUAACUGCUGGCAAUUCUUUGUGUGGUGUUACUCUUUCUUGCCUGGCUAUGAGUCCUUCUAUACUGUGGCCUUGGGUGCAGUCACCUGGUCUAUAUGGUUGGCCUGGAAUAGUGCUACCUUUGAGAAGAUGAUCAAAAUUCCUUUUGAGAUUGUUUUUACGGUGGUUUCCUUUCUUUUAUAUUGGGCAUAUCUACAGGCUGGAGACGACGUCAAACAAUUCCGAGCAGGCACGGAGAGGAUCCGCAAUGGGACUCUGAUGCUGCUGAGGGCAUGUGAUGCGAAAAUUAUGAUUGGAGAAUGA
rnacentral:rRNA from 1 species